UUAGAAAUCCUUCUGAAUAGAAACACAUAUUCUGCCUGUCAUUUUUAGUUGUUGGUCUGGAUGCUUGCUUAUGUUCCUUGAUGACCCUGAUGAGAUCCUUGACUAUUGAUACUUAUGGACUUUUGGUAAGUACUCAAAACUCCAUUCUGGAUCUUCGGUAGCCGCGUACAGUGUUCUUCUCUUUUGGUGUUCUUGCUGCUUAUCUUCUCUGCUUCUGUUCUCUUUCAUGUAUCAUGCCAGCUUGACUUUUUGGUGGAUGGAUGUGUGGUAACAGUUAGAGGAUUAGAUUUACAGCGUUCCUUCUUUUUGUGCUUGCAGCUGUUGGGUCUUACAGAGCAGUGAAUACUUCUUUUCAUGGAGCGGCCUUGUUUGUCGAUUUGUGUCGAGGUUUCUUUAGUUAAUGCUUUUAAUGAGUAUUGAGAUUUUCGAUUCAGAUUUCUUCCCUGAUCACUGGUUCCCUUCUCUCUGUCAAAAUUGAUGAUGUGUGGAAGUUCUCAACUAAGAUAAAUAUUUUUCAUUUGUGCUUGUUCUGGUGGUGUUUUUAGUUUUUAGUCCGGGAUGCUUGAUGAAUGAUCCUACUGAUGAGAUCCCUGAUGGUUAUGGAUGCCUGAUAUAAAUUUUGGAUCUUUUGAUAGUGGCUAUUGAAAUUUUGGAUCUUUUGACCACAUGGUGAGUGGUACAUUAGAUUUCAAAUUUCAAAGGUUGGUGUCCAAUGUGCGCUCCGGUGUAUCCUGUGUCUUGGCUAUUUUGAUGCUUGCGCUGCCAUCUGGAUAUCAUCAGUCUUUGAGAAAAAGGGGGUUUGGAAUCUUGUGUGGCAUCUCUAGUAAUUUGCUAGGUGUAUGGGUUUUGCCAGCUUUGGACUUAACUGUUCCCUUCUUUCUGUGCUUGCAGCUGUUGGGUCUUAUAACAACGUACCCAGUGUAAUCCCACAAGUGGAGUAUGGGGAGGGUAGAGUGUACGCAGACCUUACCCCUACCUUGGGAGGUAGAGAGGCUGUUGGGUCUUAUAGAGCAGUGAAUUCUUUUCAUGGAGCGUCCUUGUUUGUCAAUCUCUAGUGAAAUUGCUAUGAGGUUUUUCUCUUGGUCAGAGUGGUUCCCUUCUCUCUUUGUCAGAACUGCUGUUAUAUGGAAGUUCUCAACUAAGAUUACUCUUUUCACAAUUGUGUAUAAUAUAUUUUCUGCCAUUUCAACUAAUCCAGAUGCUUAUGGUCUUCGAUUAUCCAAGUGUUGAGAUCUCUGACCGCCUUACAGGUAUGGAUGCCUGAUUAAGUAAAACUCAAUUCUGGAUCUUCUUAUAGUGCAAGGUGCUCCUCUACCUUUGGUGUUCUCACUCUUCUUCUUUGCUUCCGUGUUUUUAUAAUCACACCAGCUUGAUUUUGUUUGUUGGGGGGAUGGAUGUGUAUACCACAUGGUGAAUGCUAGUGAGGAGUAGAUUUGGAAAUUGCAGAUGGUGUUUCAGUAUCCGUUGCUGUGCAUGCUGUUUCUUGGUCUUUUUGGUGCUUGCAUUGCAAUCUGGGUAGUGUCAGCCUUCAAGAAAAGGGGUUGCUUUUCAAUCUUGUAUCUGUAGAUUUUCUACCUUGGGUUUCGCCGGCGUUGCACUUGCCUGUUCCUUUUCCGUGCUUGCUGCUGUUGGGUCUUAGAGCUGUGAAUUCUACUUCUUAUGGAGCGGCUUGUUUGUCAAUUUAUGUUGAGGUUUCUAUAGUGCAGGCUUCAGUGAGUGAAAGAGUCUCUAUUCAGUUGUCGUCAGAGGUCCCCUUCUCUCACCAUACUCUAGUUAUGUGCACUCUAAGUAGUUUUUUUUUUUUCCUUAGGAAAAGUUGACAUGUCCAUGGUUGCUUCCUUACAUGGAGGCCGGUAUAUGAUCAUUGUUAUUCAAUUUUAGGUUCUCUUAUUGGGUGAUGUGGUAUCCAUGACAUAUUGUUUGUAUUUUUAAGGUGCAUGCUUAUAUAUUGUAGAUUUCAUUGAUAAUUGUUUCUAUUUUUAAGAAUUUCUCAAUUAAAUCUACUGUUCUUGUCAAAGUUCCUUUUGCUGCCAUUUUUAUUGAUAUUUCAAUGAUUCAGAGAUGGAGGCUAGUACAGUUCUGGGUGCGUGAUAAAUAUUGAAUUAUGCAUCUUUGCUAGCAUUGUGUAGAGCACUUGCCUGCAUUUGAUGUUCUCGCUAAUGUCUUGGGUAGUCGUGUAAAGUGAUCCUCUACAUUUGGUGGUGUAAUGCAUUUAUCUUUUCUUUGUCUGUUUUCUUUUGUAUAUCACACCAGCUUGUUUUUAUUUGUCGAAUAUCUGGUAGAGCACAUGGCGACCAUAACAAAGAAUUAGAUUUCCGAAGGGCAAUAACCAGAUGCGCUCCUGCGGGGAAGGCCUCUGUCCUUAUCCAUUAGACAAUGGACGCCUUCCAUUUUGAUUCU